GACGAACGCUGGCGGCGUGCUUAACACAUGCAAGUCGAACGAAGUGGCGAACGGGUGAGUAACGCGUAAUCAACCUGCCCUUCAGAGGGGGACAACAGUUGGAAACGACUGCUAAUACCGCAUACUGAAGGAGGGGAUUGCGUCUGAUUAGCUAGUUGGAGGGGUAACGGCCCACCAAGGCGAUGAUCAGUAGCCUGUCUGAGGGGGUGAACGGCCACAUGUGGAAUGGGGCACGGCCCAGGCUCCUAAGGGGGGCAACAGUGGGGAAUCUGCCGCAAUGGAGGGAAGUCUGGCGGGGCAACGCCGCGUGGGUGAUGACGGCCUUCGGGUUGUAAAGCUCUUUUAAUCGGGACGCGGUACCGGAAUAGAAAGCCACGGCUAACUACGUGCCAGCAGCCGCGGUAAUUC
rnacentral:rRNA from 1 species